rnacentral:rRNA from 1 species
GUGCUUAACACAUGCAAGUCGAACGGAAAGGCCCUUCGGGGUACUCGAGUGGCGAACGGGUGAGUAACACGUGGGCAAUCUGCCCUGCACACCGGGAUAAGCCUGGGAAACUGGGUCUAAUACCGGAUAGGACCACUUGGCGCAUGCCUUGUGGUGGAAAGCUUUUGCGGUGUGGGAUGGGCCCGCGGCCUAUCAGCUUGUUGGUGGGGUGACGGCCUACCAAGGCGACGACGGGUAGCCGGCCUGAGAGGGUGUCCGGCCACACUGGGACUGAGAUACGGCCCAGACUCCUACGGGAGGCAGCAGUGGGGAAUAUUGCACAAUGGGCGCAAGCCUGAUGCAGCGACGCCGCGUGGGGGAUGACGGCCUUCGGGUUGUAAACCUCUUUCACCAUCGACGAAGGUCCGGGUUUUCUCGGAUUGACGGUAGGUGGAGAAGAAGCACCGGCCAACUACGUGCCAGCAGCCGCGGUAAUACGUAGGGUGCGAGCGUUGUCCGGAAUUACUGGGCGUAAAGAGCUCGUAGGUGGUUUGUCGCGUUGUUCGUGAAAUC